GUUUUACAGGGGCAUUUGAGCUUUGAAGGCUAGAUUCAGUAAUUUUAGGUUUUUGGCUAUGAUUUUGGUACAAAUUUUGAGUCAUUUGGAGUUUAUAUGAAAGAGAUAUAGGUGUUCAAAGUUAGGGUGUUGAUUUUGUACCUACUGUCACUCUUUUGGAUAUAACACACACUUAUAGAAAGCAACAUAGGAUCGGCAAUUGAGUUUGGAGAGAACACUCUUUUGGCUACACUUUUGGCAUACUAUUUGAUGGAUUUUAAGUUUGAGUAAAGGAGAUAUUGGAGGUUGAAGUCAGCGCUUGCAAAUCUAAGGGUAGUAAGUAAUCCGAAUUACUAGUAGUUGUAUUUUGA
rnacentral:lncRNA from 1 species